rnacentral:misc_RNA from 1 species
GAUGAAGAACGUAGCGAAUUGCGAUAAGUAAUGUGAAUUGCAGAAUUCAGUGAAUCAUCGAAUCUUUGAACGCAGCUUGCGCUCUCUGGUAUUCCGGAGAGCAUGCCUGUUUCAGUGUCAUGAAAUCUCAACCACUAGGGUUUCCUAAUGGAUUGGAUUUGGGCGUCUGCGAUUUCUGAUCGCUCGCCUUAAAAGAGUUAGCAAGUUUGACAUUAAUGUCUGGUGUAAUAAGUUUCACUGGGUCCAUUGUGUUGAAGCGUGCUUCUAAUCGUCCGCAAGGACAAUUACUUUGACUCUGGCCUGAAAUCAGGUAGGACUACCCGCUGAACUUAAGCAUAUCAAUAAGCGGAGGA